rnacentral:rRNA from 1 species
GNGGCCUGGCGGCGUGCUACCAUGCAGUCGACGAUGAAGCCCAGCUUGCUGGGUGGAUUAGUGGCGAACGGGUGAGUAACACGUGAGUAACCUGCCCUUAACUCUGGGAUAAGCCUGGGAAACUGGGUCUAAUACCGGAUAGGAGCGCCCACCGCAUGGUGGGUGUUGGAAAGAUUUAUCGGUUUUGGAUGGACUCGCGGCCUAUCAGCUUGUUGGUGAGGUAAUGGCUCACCAAGGCGACGACGGGUAGCCGGCCUGAGAGGGUGACCGGCCACACUGGGACUGAGACACGGCCCAGACUCCUACGGGAGGCAGCAGUGGGGAAUAUUGCACAAUGGGCGCAAGCCUGAUGCAGCGACGCCGCGUGAGGGAUGACGGCCUUCGGGUUGUAAACCUCUUUCAGUAGGGAAGAAGCGAAAGUGACGGUACCUGCAGAAGAAGCACCGGCUAACUACGUGCCAGCAGCCGCGGUAAUACGUAGGGUGCGAGCGUUAUCCGGAAUUAUUGGGCGUAAAGAGCUCGUAGGCGGUUUGUCGCGUCUGUCGUGAAAGUCCGGGGCUUAACCCCGGAUCUGCGGUGGGUACGGGCAGACUAGAGUGCAAUAGGGGAGACUGGAAUUCCCUGGUGUAGCGGGU